UACCAUGAACUAGUAUCCAUAUCGUAGUAAUCAUAUCAUUUGAAUUGUAGCUCUCCACUGUACUGCUGUCAAUAUAAAACCAUUAUGAGAACUUUUUUGUGUUUUCUGUGGGUUAUCGUUUUUACGGCCCUAUCUGCAGAAUCCUUAAGUCAGGAGAGAAGGAAUUUGUCUGAAACAAUUAAAUUUCUGCGUGAACUGGGUCCAAAAGAAUGCCUAAAAGAGGUGGAAAAUGCGACGACUGAUCGGUUCACGAUUCUUCCCAAAAAGGAAAUACAUCAGGCACUGAAGAUAUCAUAUAACUCUAUCUUUGAGCUCUUCAAAAAGAAAAUAACCCAUGGUCACUGGAAUAACGCUGCAUUCCAAAAUCUAAUGGAGCACCUCAACCGGCAAGCUAAAUCAAAUAGCGUCCCGGUGACGAGCUCUGAACUUGAGACGCUGGUCAAGAACUUCAAGCUGCUUGAUAAUUUUCUUACAGAGCAGGAUUUUAGCCGCUGCGCUUGGGAGAUUGCGCGCAAUGAGAUUUUGGUCGUCAUGGACCACUUCAGGAGAAUGACAUAUAGAAAGAGACACAAUUAGCCUAAUAUCGGCUAAAUAGUAGUAAAAUGUUGUUAGAUGUUAAAUUAAAUUAAAUGUUGUUCAUAAUUUAUUAAUAUGCUAUUUUAUUGUUUUUCUUUUGCACUUUUCACUUUUCAUUUGGUAAAAUGAAUGAAUGAAUGUAUUUCCAUAUUUAUAUUUGCCAUUGUCUGAACUGGCUUUAAUAACUCUGCACUUAUGCUAUUUAGAAACAUAUUUAUUAGAACAGAACAACUAAUCUAGACUACACUAAAAAUGUCUUCAUCAAGCAAAUAAACAUAUAUUGUCUUAUAUUGUUUAUCCGGGGCAUGAAUGUUUCGUUUACACGUUGAAUGUAUUAUUCAAUGAAUUGUUUUUUUAACAAAUGUGUGGACACAUCACUUCACUAAUGUUAAUAAAAAAAUAAAUUCUCAAAAAUGUA